rnacentral:rRNA from 1 species
AGCAGCAGCCGCGGUAAUACGGAGGAUCCAAGCGUUAUCCGGAAUCAUUGGGUUUAAAGGGUCCGUAGGCGGUCUUGUAAGUCAGUGGUGAAAGCCCAUCGCUCAACGGUGGAACGGCCAUUGAUACUGCAGGACUUGAAUUAUUGGGAAGUAACUAGAAUAUGUAGUGUAGCGGUGAAAUGCUUAGAGAUUACAUGGAAUACCAAUUGCGAAGGCAGGUUACUACCAAUUGAUUGACGCUGAUGGACGAAAGCGUGGGUAGCGAACAGGAUUAGAUACCCCUGUAGUCCCUGUCUCUUAUAC